AUAACUUUUUUCUGAACUACUAACAUGGCCUAGCAAUUUUUAGAAGCAACUCAAAGCUAGAUCUCUUAAGGGUGGCAAAGACAACAUUUGCGUCCCACUAUAUUUUACUGAAGAGGCUAAGUGACUGCCGAGAAGCACUUGCUACCACGGUGGUCACAAAGCAAUGGAAGGAUUGGAUGAAGGCCAAUAGCAGUGAUCAAUAUGCAAAGGCAGCAAUUGAAACUAUCAACAGUGAAGAGUUCUAGGCAGAGGUUGACAAUGUACUUGCUCUCACAAAGCUGUUGUUCUUAAUGGUGAAAUACAUUGAUGGAGAAGGUCCCAAGAUGGGUGAAGUAUAUGAAAAAAUGGAUAGUAUGUUGGGAGAGAUAACAGAUGUGAUGACCAAUGAAGAUUAUCCUCACAAAGAAGAUUUUCCUAAGGUUAAUGAGAUAGUUAUUAGUCAGUGGAGCAAAAUGAACAUCCCAGUCCAUUGCCUGGAUUUUGCACUAUGCCCAAAGUUAUAUGAUACUUGAGUAUAUGAAAACACCUGCUCCAGGAGGCAUUCCGAGAAAAGCUCCAAAUCAAGACAAGGAGGUCAUGAGAGGGGUGGUAGAAGCUUUUCGUAAAAUAGCAGAUGGUGAUGCUGAACGAAAGACCAUGCAAGAAGAAUUUACUGCAUUUCACAUGAAGAAAGGAAUGUAUGCACUACCCAUUGUUCAGACUGAUGCAACCACAAUGUCACCCAUUGAUUGGUGUUCUAACUAUGGCUCGGAGACUCCAAAUUUAGCAGAAGUUGCUUUAAAGGUUUCUAGAGAGCUACAAAGUAGGCCCUAAUAGCAAAUGGGACACAGAUCCAGAGGAUGCCUCCUUAGAGGAAUCAAGAUUGAAGCUCGAGCAAUUACGCUAGAAAGAUUUGGAGAAAGAUGUGGCCAAUGAUCCUCUAAUUGAGGAGCCCAACUCAUCAUCAAAGAAGGUCACAAAAAACAAGAAUAAUUGAUUGGAGUGUAGGUUGGCCAGAGUGGAUCAUCAGAGGAGUAGUGGGCUAGAGGAGUAAGGACUACAUCAACUCCUAGGAGAAUGAGCAUGGCUACCCACUGCCAUCGACUGUUAGUUGUUUUUCUUUCAUUUAAUAAAUAAAGUUAGUGGUUAGAGUGUGACAUUGUGAGUCAUUUAUAAACUAUUCGCAGAUUUCUUAUUUUUCUUUGUUGGAUUGGCUAAUGUAUGGGACCCUAAUGUAAUGAGUUAUUUAAAUUACGUACUUCA